rnacentral:rRNA from 1 species
AGUCAAUAGAUACCCGGGUAGUCCACGCCGUAAACGAUGAGUACUAGGUGUAGGAGGUAUCGACCUCCUUCUGUGCCGCAGUUAAACACAAUAAGUACUCCGCCUGGGAGGUACGGUCGCAAGAUUAAAACUCAAAGGAAUUGACGGGGGCCCGGCACAAGCAGCGGAGCAUGUGGUUUAAUUCGAAGCAACGCGAAGAACCUUACCUAGACUUGACAUCUCCUGAAUAGCGCAGAGAUGCGUGAAGCCCUUCGGGGCAGGAAGACAGGUGGUGCAUGGUUGUCGUCAGCUCGUGUCGUGAGAUGUUGGGUUAAGUCCCGCAACGAGCGCAACCCCUAUUAUUAGUUGCUACCAUUAAGUUGAGCACUCUAAUGAGACUGCCCGGGGUUAAACCGGGGAGGAAGGCGGGGAUGACGUCAAAUCAUCAUGCCCCUUAUGUCUAGGGCUACACACGUGCUACAAUGGUGAGAACAACGAGAUGCAAUACCGCGAGGUGGAGCAAAACUUGAAAACUCAUCUCAGUUCGG